rnacentral:rRNA from 1 species
GAGUUUGAUCAUGGCUCAGGAUGAACGCCGGCGGUGUGCCUAAUACAUGCAAGUCGUACGCACUGGCCCAACUGAUUGAUGGUGCUUGCACCUGAUUGACGAUGGAUCACCAGUGAGUGGCGGACGGGUGAGUAACACGUAGGUAACCUGCCCCGGAGCGGGGGAUAACAUUUGGAAACAGAUGCUAAUACCGCAUAACAACAAAGGCCACAUGGCUUUUGUUUGAAAGAUGGCUUUGGCCAUCACUCUGGGAUGGACCUGCGGUGCAUUAGCUAGUUGGUAAGGUAACGGCUUACCAAGGCGAUGAUGCAUAGCCGAGUUGAGAGACUGAUCGGCCACAAUGGAACUGAGACACGGUCCAUACUCCUACGGGAGGCAGCAGUAGGGAAUCUUCCACAAUGGGCGCAAGCCUGAUGGAGCAACACCCGCGUGAGUGAAGAAGGGUUUCGGCUCGUAAAGCUCUGUUGUUGGAGAAGAACGUGCGUGAGAGU